GCUGCUCCUAGGGUCAUUGCAGGUAAUGGCUUCUGGAUCACAUGUGGGUCAAUAGGUGGCAGAGAGGAGAAAAGGCUAUGUCUGUGCUAAGUGCUCUGGCCUAACAUU
rnacentral:snoRNA from 1 species